UCCUGUAGCUGUCCGCUUUCAAAUAAUCUUGUAUUUAACUGAACUUUUUCCUUUUCCUUUUGACAUAUACAUCUCUUUUUGGUUUAUUUGAAGUAUUUAACUGCAAAAUGAGCAACUCAAAGAGUGCCAGACAAGGCAUUAACAUUCAAGCUAUGGUUACACGUGCAGAUACAAGUGCAGCAGAGAAGCUAGCAUCGUACGCAGCUAAUAGCAGUACCUCAAAAAUCCUGACUGCAGCUGAGGAAAGUAUAACUACUGCGCUCAUCUCUAUGGAUCAGCUGGCAGCAGAGUUCGAAAAACAGAUGUAAACAGAUGACGUAUGGUUUCUUAUUCAAGAAUCCACAAACCCACUUCAAUCCUCUCUGGACUCGCUACAGACAACAGUGAACUCCUUCCAGAAUCGCCUUACCGCUGUGGAGUCUGUGGCUGGAGACAUCUUUGAACGUCUGGCCUCAGCGGAAUCCACCAUCAGAAAUCUCCGUACCCGAAACCAGUCUCCUUUAAGACCAGCGCUAUGACCUCGAAAACCGCUCACGGAGAGCCAACCUGCGCAUUUUGAAUAUCCCUGAGGGCAGGGAGGAUGGUAAAGACCCAGUUAAGUUUAUGUCGGAGGUGUUGAUGCAGAUUAUGGGCUCUGAUGUCUUUCCCGCACCACAGAUAAAACCCAAGAGUUUUACAAACGGAGGUUUGGAAAAGAGUAGACGCACACGCACCUCAUGCCUGCACCUUGAGAACGGUAAUCUGCCUUGACUGUUAUGUUGUCAAGCUAAACUGUGAACUUAUCCUAUUAGCAGAUCGGGGAUUGAACUGAAGGUAUGAACACUCCUGUUGUUGCUCAGUGCUGGACUCGCUCAUACUAUGAUGUUACCAUUAGCAGCCCUCUCACUUUCUUUCAAAUAUUUUAAUUUCAUGAUCAUGGUGUUGUUCAGCGUUAAUCAUAUAUCUACUUGCUUUAUUUUAUUAUUUUUUUUAUAACCCUUGGCUUUCAUUUUAUUUCCACUUGACUGCACUAAUAGCCAAGGCUGCUAAUUAGGAAAAAGAGUUCACUCCAUAUGAAUCUGCUGGGAGCCCUCUCGGGUAGACAAAUCAAAAGCUGUUUCACCAGAUGUUUUUGCAAACUGUGUUUUGCCUGCAGCUUGCCUCAGAAUGAGGGACAAGUAGAGGCUUAAAUGUUUGUUCUGUAAAUGGGAUGGGGUUAUGGGAAGGGUGUGAUGGCAUUAUAAGUUAAGAAGUCACUGCACCGCCUAGUGGUGAGAGACAGAACCGCAGCUAAAAUCAGCCCUUUUUGCUAUUGGUCGGUGUGAUCACAUGGUUUGGUUAGAGGCUGAGAUCAGCCAUAUUGUUUGAGGAAUUCACUGAAGAGCAGGGCCAACUCAAUACUUCGCAUCCACCUGUGUUUUUUCACAAAUUGGAUCUGGAUCACAUUGUAAGAAAGCUGUAAGAUAAGGACAAACAAGUAAACAGUCUGAACCCUA